UUCUUUAUCACCGAGUGCUUGCACUCACCGAUAAAGAGUUGAGUGGCGAACGGGUGAGUAACACGUGGGCAACCUGCCCAAAAGAGGGGGAUAACACUUGGAAACAGGUGCUAAUACCGCAUAACCAUAGUUACCGCAUGGUAACUAUGUAAAAGGUGGCUAUGCUACCGCUUUUGGAUGGGCCCGCGGCGCAUUAGCUAGUUGGUGGGGUAAAGGCUUACCAAGGCAAUGAUGCGUAGCCGAACUGAGAGGUUGAUCGGCCACAUUGGGACUGAGACACGGCCCAAACUCCUACGGGAGGCAGCAGUAGGGAAUCUUCCACAAUGGGCGAAAGCCUGAUGGAGCAACGCCGCGUGGGUGAAGAAGGUCUUCGGAUCGUAAAACCCUGUUGUUAGAGAAGAAAGUGCGUGAGAGUAACUGUUCACGUUUCGACGGUAUCUAACCAGAAAGCCACGGCUAACUACGUGCCAGCAGCCGCGGUAAUACGUAGGUGGCAAGCGUUAUCCGGAUUUAUUGGGCGUAAAGGGAACGCAGGCGGUCUUUUAAGUCUGAUGUGAAAGCCUUCGGCUUAACCGGAGUAGUGCAUUGGAAACUGGGAGACUUGAGUGCAGAAGAGGAGAGUGGAACUCCAUGUGUAGCGGUGAAAUGCGUAGAUAUAUGGAAGAACACCAGUGGCGAAAGCGGCUCUCUGGUCUGUAACUGACGCUGAGGUUCGAAAGCGUGGGUAGCAAACAGGAUUAGAUACCCUGGUAGUCCACGCCGUAAACGAUGAAUGCUAAGUGUUGG
rnacentral:rRNA from 1 species